rnacentral:tmRNA from 1 species
ACUGGUUUCGACGGGGGUACGUGGCACCUAGGAAGCGAGUGGAGGGAACUCAUGGGCCCGCCUUAAAAAACUAUGGGAAUAAAGAUAAACGCAGAAGAUAAUUUCGCGUUAGCUGCUUAGUUCAGCUCGUUCUACCUUUGAGUCCCACGACUUAGGAUAGGGCGUCAUUUAGUGGGGAACCGAGCUUAGGAAAGCUUUGACUUAAGAACGGAAUUAAUGAAGCUACUGAAGUGAAAAGCCUGUUCGUCGGCGUUUCAUGGAGGGAAUGUUAAAAGAUGAACUGCACUCGGAGAUGCCUAGUUGUGAUGGCUUUCGGACAGGGGUUCGAUUCA